CCUACGGGUGGCAGCAGUGGGGAAUAUUGCACAAUGGGGGAAACCCUGAUGCAGCGACGCCGCGUGAGUGAAGAAGUAAUUCGUUAUGUAAAGCUCUAUCAGCAGGGAAGAAAAUGACGGUACCUGAGUAAGAAGCCCCGGCUAACUACGUGCCCGCAGCCGCGGUAAUACGUAGGGGGCAAGCGUUAUCCGGAUUUACUGGGGGGAAAGGGAGAGUAGACGGCGGUGCAAGUCUGGAGUGAAAGGCGGGGGCUCAACCCCCGGACUGCUCUGGAAACUGUACGGCUGGAGUGCAGGAGAGGUAAGUUGAAUUCCUAGUGUAGCGGUGAAAUGCGUAGAUAUUAGGAGGAACACCAGUGGCGAAGGCGGCUUACUGGACUGUAACUGACGUUGAGGCUCGAAAGCGUGGGGAGCAAACAGGAUUAGAUACCCUAGUAGUC
rnacentral:rRNA from 1 species